rnacentral:rRNA from 1 species
UACGUAGGUGGCGAGCGUUGUCCGGAAUUACUGGGUGUAAAGGGAGCGUAGGCGGGAGCGCAAGUUAAAUGUGAAAUGUAUCGGCUCAACCGGUACCUGCGUUUAAAACUGCGUUUCUUGAGUGAGGUAGAGGCAGGCGGAAUUCCUAGUGUAGCGGUGAAAUGCGUAGAUAUUAGGAGGAACACCAGUGGCGAAGGCGGCCUGCUGGGCCUUAACUGACGCUGAAGCUCGAAAGCGUGGGGAGCAAACA